AUACUUACCUGGCAGGAGCGAUUCCAUGAUCCAGAAGGUAUAUUCCCCAAGGUGAGGCUCACCCAUUGCACUGUGGACGUGCUGACUCCUGCGAUUUCCCCAAAUGUAGGAAACUUGACUGGAAAAUUUGUGGUAGUGCAUGCUCUCCCCUGGCAGGCC